AGACCGAUAGCGAACAAGUAGUGUGAUCGAAAGAUGAAAAGCACUUUGAAAAAGAGGGUUAAAUAGUACGUGAAAUUGUUGAAAGGGAAGCGCUUGUGACCAGACUUGGGCCCGGUGGGAUCAUCCAGCGUUCUCGCUGGUGCACUGCCGCCGGGUUACAGGCCAGCAUCAGUUCACCGCGGGGGAAAAAGGCUUCGGGAACGUGGCUCCUACGGGAGUGUUCAUCUGCCCGUUGCAUAAUAGGCCUGGGGGCGGAGCUGAGGGUUCGCGCUCCGCAAGGAUGCUGGCGUAAUGGUCAUCAGCGACCCGUCUUGAAACACGGACCAAG
rnacentral:rRNA from 1 species